CCUGGGUAGCUUUUGCUCAGUGCUCAGCAGUGGAGACAGAAGCCACCCUGCUGAAUUCACACAGAAUUGAUUUUUUAACCAGAGUAAAUUUACCAGAGGGAGCAAGCCGAGGUGGUUUGAAAAAAAUCCGUUGUGGGACACCUUGUUCUGGAGAUAAUGAUAAUGAAGAUGAGAGAAGACCACAGGCCGAACAAAGGAAGAAUGUUGUGGAGAAAGGGAAUGCCAGAUGCUUUAGGAAAAUGAGGCCCAGCACAAAAAAAAGCUCAGAAGAGACAAAGACAAUCAAGUUAUGGGCAGGACACAGAGGCUCAGACAAAAGGCAAGAUGACUGACUGACUCACCGGAAGGAAGGAGGGAAACAUGGCUCACAAUAACCUUUGAAAGACGCGGCUUGGAGACUCACUAGCCGGGCAUAAACAGGAAAAGGGUUUGAAAGAUGAGUCUGGAUGCUCAGGGCUUGCCAUCUGCAGGUGAGGCUGAGAUAAAACUUUGGCUCUGAGAGAGGGGCAGACUGUAGCUGUGGUCACCUGGGCUCAGCUUUCUCUAGAAGUGGCUUCCAAGAGAGAAUACACGAUAAAAAAAAAACACACCAAGAAAGCCAUGUCAUCAGACUCACUCGUCCUCACUUCUUAGCCGGGAUGCUUUUCCCGUACAUCGCAGACAUCCCGGGGAGGUAGAGGGGAGUCGGGUGGGCAUUGUCAGUGGGGGAGAGUGGGACCUUAGCAGGCAACAAGUUGUCUUCCUUUGCAGAGCACCAAGUCUCUAGGGCUUAGCCGUGUGCUUUUGCAAACAGAAGCACACCCAGGGCCACUGCUGAGCUGGGCCUUGGUCAGUCAGUCCAUCAGGAUGUUGCCCCUUGAAAACAGGGCCGGGGGAUGACUUGUGGACAGGGAUGAUCUUCAUCCUUGGAGAUGUGGCUCUCAAAACGUUAGGGGCCAGCCCCUCAGGGUGCAUGCUCUCUGCACCAUAGGGAGUGCUCUGAUUCAUCAUCAGGGAGUUGCCACACUAUCAUUUUUAAAUUGAUAUAUAUAAUGAAUAUUUUAUUUACUCAUUAUUGGAUAGAGACAAAGAGAAAUUGAUAGGAGGAGAUAGAAAGGGAGAGAGAUAGACAGACAUCCACAGCCCUGCUUCAC